rnacentral:rRNA from 1 species
AAACUUAAAGGAAUUGACGGAAAGGCACCACCAGGCGUGGAGCUUGCGGCUCAAUUUGACUCAACACGGGAAAUCUCACCAGACCCGAACAUCUCUAACGAUUGACAGAUUGAAAGCUCUUUCUUAAUGAAGUGGAUGGUGGUGCAUGGCCGUUCUUAGUUGGUGGAGUGAUUUGUCUGGUUAAUUCCGUUAACGAACGAGACCUUAACCUGCUAACUAGUUUGUAUUCUUACAGAGUACAAUACUUCUUAGAGGGACUAUAUAUGUUAAGUAUAUGGAAGUUUGAGGCAAUAACAGGUCUGUGAUGCCCUUAG